AUAAACUAUUUUAGACGCAAUCAAGGAAGAAUCGCCCAUCAUGUGGAAUUGAGCGGCAGUUUUAAAUGUACUAAGAGAAGACUGGUCUCGAAAAAAAAAAAAAAAAACAUUUUUUUCCCCUUCUUUUUUUGGAGACGCCUAAAGGAGCCUGUUUGUGUGCUGUGUGGCCACGUUCUGCUGUGACUGGAUCUUGUCUUCUGCCUGGCUCCUCGAUUUCCGUCCGGCUGGAUUUGGGGACAACACUGCCUGGCGCAGACAGAUCAAAUGACACUUCAAAGAAGCAUAAAAUGAACAGACUAUUCAAACAAAGGUAAUUUACAUUUUUUUAUUUGAUAAAACCUGACUGAUGUACAAAACGAAAAUAGAAUAUUGUUUACUGGAAAACAGGUCUACAAUCUCUCACACAUCUUCUCUUGCAACAGAUAGAAUUCCAGAAACAUCUAAGUUCCUCUGUGUACAGUUAUUUCUCCUGUAGGAGCCUUUGUAUGGAUGUAAUACACACAUAUAUGUAUAUGCAUAGAGCAUGACAUAAAUAAAACCUGCAAUAGCCUAUAAGAAAGAAGCUCCUAUUUAGAGGAAAGGGUAAGAUACUUUUAUUAUAAUGAAAGCCAGUUCACUUCAUCACUUGGACCAUGGACACUAAUGUAAAUAAAAUGGCUUAAAAAAUAAGACAAUAGUAGUAUUGACUGUAGACUACAAUUUGCACAUUUGUAAUUCUUAUAAAUGAAAUAUUUAAAAUGAUUUGGUGUUGGGCCAGUUCCUUAUGCAUUCUGCAUUCAUGUGUAUAGGAUUCAAAGACGUUCCAAAUAUUGAUCAUAAACCAAGUGUAUAUGAAUUAAUUAAAUAGCAUAUUUCUGGCCCAAAUAUGAGGAAAACCAUAACUUUUUACUGUAAAUCAGGAGAGAUUGUUUUAUCCCCAAAUAAACUAGGAUGUUUCAAGUCAUGUUUCAGCAAUUUGGAGACCUACAAACUAUCUGCAAGCAAGCACAACAACCAUACUCUAAUCUACUAGAUAGUAGUGAGAAUUUAGUGCUUGAAUUCAGGCUGCUUGAAUUCAGUAUAUCCUUCUCUAUGCUGAUUUUCAAGUAGAUAUUCUGUAGCUCAGCUAGAUAAUCUUUUAAAAGCAAAAAAAAAAUUAAGUUUAAAGUGUAGUUGCUAAGAGCUGCUCUUCACAGGUGACAUCGCUAGGAGUCUUUGAAGAUAUGUAAUUGUAACGUAUUGUGGGGUAUAUAUAAUACAUACAAUAAACCAUUUUAUAAACCUUGGCAAUCUU
rnacentral:lncRNA from 1 species